UACUAGUGCUUCUCCUCAUAAUCGAAUGAAUCUUUUAUCUUUUACUAAAGAUUGACAUGGGGAGGAAGGAGCAUGACAGUUGCUUCAAUUCUUUGAAGGCUUGUGGGAAUAAACAAGGCU